rnacentral:lncRNA from 1 species
AAGUAGCUAAAGCUACAACAGUGACUUAGUAAAUGUGAGCUCUAUCUCAGAAAAUAUAUUCUUCUCAUGUUUACCUCUUAGUAAAUAAAUUUGAACUGAUCUGACUCAGUAUAGAUAAAGAUCUUUGGUUCGAUCUAUGUGAUUAUAUAGUUGCAACUGUAGUAGUUACAAGUUUUAGAUAUUUAUUUGACUGACACAGUGUAGGCAUUAAGUAAACUGCUGUAUUUUUAAUAAAAAAUAAUAAUGUUAUCUCAUUUUGAUAUAAUCAGAGAACGCACACCUGCUCUUGCUUAAUCCAGUUACAUCUAUUUUAGUACUCAAUACUCGUUCACAAAUUAGCAGGUGUUGUGUAUUAGUCUGUUCGCCUAACAAAUCCAACUACACAUCCCUGUUCAAAGCAGCAGCAGUAACUUCUCCAGCAAGUGGAAGCACUAUAGCAGGAAGCAACACGUCAAAGUCAAGCACCAGCUCAGGCAAAGGCAGGGGCUAGCUGGACCAUUAUUCUGUGAAGUUUGAACUCUAAACCAAGCAUGACUUAUGGUCAGUAGAAGUACUCAUUCAGAGUUCAAAAUAAACUUCAAUUCAUUCUCAAAUUAGCUACUUGUAUUCAGCCACUAAUUAAUCUAUUGCUCAUUACAGUUAGUUAUCAAUUUUGAUAUUUUCUUGCCAGAUUAUUUUUCUGUCUAUUGGUAGCAGCAAUAUCGUUAGUUUUUAUAUUGUUUCAAAUACAUGUUGUCUGAUAUUUCCUCCUCAGAUUCAUGCAACAAUUAACAACUAACUACGAUCUCAAGAGAAGUGAAGAAGCUGAGGAACGGCUGGCGAGGACACAGAAAGAGAUGGAGGAGAUGAAGAAGCUGACAGAGAUGAACAGGAAGGCAAUGGAGGAGAACAAUACGCUGCUCAAGCGUAUCUUGUCCAUCAACAAUGCUUCUUCGACGUGCGAGCUGCUCAGCUGCUGGUAGUAGGACUAACUAGGAACUGUAGCUGCUGGUGCUUGACAUCCUGCUAAUUUUGAUUUUGCAAUGACUUGUGUUGUGGUGGUUUGCAAAUGUUCUAUUUAAACCAAGUGUGUGGUGAACUAAGUUUAUGCACUUAUGUUGCUAGUGAACCGAGUGUAGCAGCGACAAUUAAGUUAUGAGCAAUGGAUCUUUAGUUUUAUGGAUGUUUUC